rnacentral:rRNA from 1 species
GUGCCAGCAGCCGCGGUAAUACGGAGGGUGCAAGCGUUAAUCGGAAUUACUGGGCGUAAAGCGUGCGUAGGCGGUUAUUUAAGUCAGAUGUGAAAGCCCCGGGCUUAACCUGGGAACUGCAUUUGAUACUGGGUAACUAGAGUUUAGUAGAGGAGAGUGGAAUUUCCGGUGUAGCGGUGAAAUGCGUAGAUAUCGGAAGGAACACCAGUGGCGAAGGCGACUCUCUGGACUAAAACUGACGCUGAGGUACGAAAGCGUGGGUAGCAAACAGGAUUAGAAACCCCCGUAGUCC